ACUGGACAGCUCUCCCCAAACACCCGGGACCCGGCACUGGACAGCUCUCCCCAAACACCCGGGACCCGGCACUGGACAGCUCUUCCCAAACACCUGGGUCCCAGCACUGGACAGCUCUCCACAGAAACACCCGGGACCUGGCACUGGACAGCUCUCCCCAAACACCCGGGACCCGGCACUGGACAGCUCUUCCCAAACACCUGGGUCCCAGCACUGGACAGCUCUCCACAGAAACACCCGGAACCCGGAACUGAACAACUCUCCACAGAAACACCCGGAACUCGGCACUGGACAGCUCUCCACAGAAACACCCGGGACCUGGCACUGGACAGCUCUCCACAGAAACACCCGGGACCCGGCACUGGACAGCUCUCCACAGAAACACCCAGGUCCCGGCACUGGACAGCUCUCCCCAAACACCCGGGACCCGGCACUGGACAGCUCUUCCCAAACACCUGGGUCCCAGCACUGGACAGCUCUCCACAGAAACACCCGGGACCCAGCACUGGACAGCUCUCCCCACAGACACCUGGAACAGCUGUGGAGCACAUGCAGGUCACCCUCAGCUACAAAGAGCCCCCUGCUGUGCAUGGAGGAAACAACGGGCCCCAGGUGUCUGUGCCACCAAAUGGGGGUCCCCAGGAUCUCCAUGUGCAGCUGGCUCUAGGGUCAGGCUUCUCCUCAGCACCCAGGACCCCCAAGGACCCCAUCUUCAAGGCUCCUGGCCCACCCAGGGCCACUGGACAUGUGGCCUUUGCCAACUUGCUAGAACCUGGGUGAGCUCGGGCAGAGAAACUCGAUGGAAGCGGAAGGAGAGGUGAGAGUGGCACACCCCCCGGGAAGACGGAACUCGACGGUCUCAUGACCAUGAGUGAAGCCCAGAGCCGAUCGCAGCCCUGUUUGUUUAGAAUCAAGCACUGCUCAGAGGAGACGCCAUAACAAACAAACGUCAGGAUGUCGGGAGGAAAGGAGUGGACCCACAGCUCAGACCUGUGGGGGCGGAGGGUGGGACUGGAGAGGCUCACACCCCACGUGCAGAUGCCAAAUGCGAGGAGACUGAGCAUCACAGACGAAGGUCCCACAAGAGAGCUUGGAAACAACAGCAGAGGGAAAUCUCAGGCAAGGACAGAUUCACAAGCCACAGACAGAGACUCACAAGCCAGAGAUGGAGAUCGACAAGCCAGAGGCCCAGAAAGCCACUCUACCGAUGGGAAGUGAAAUCUGGCAGGGGCAGGUUCAGGAGAGGGGCAGAUGCAGGAGGAGCAGCGCCAGGGCUGGGGCUGGAGGGUAGCCCUGGGGCUUGCUGGGUGACCUCGGCCAGCAGACAAAGCACUCAGGAACUGGCAGCCUCCUGUACACGGGACGUUGCUGCUAAGGAGCUAGAAUCUGCAUCUGCCCCCAACCCGCCCCCCGCCCCUGUGGCCAGCCUCCCUCUGCAGCCUCUCCCUGGCCUCUUCCACCCGGCCUCCUGCCCUGCUCAAGCCUCCCCGCCCACCCCCCCCCGGCUUCCUAAGGCCUCCCUGUCCUGAAUGCCUGCUCUAACGAUCACCCGGGCUUGGGUGCCAGGGCCUCAGGCCUGGCAGCGCUGGUGACAGCCGAGUCCCUGUAGGUGAGUGGCCCCUGCGCCUCUCUGAGGUGACCUCAGAGGCGCUGCUGGGCCAUGGGCGCUGCUGGGUGGGUCUUCCCCACCCCAGGGCCAUGAGGAAGACCGCCCCUCACAGGCCACCCUGGAUGCAGUCUGUGGCAGCCUCUACUGCAGGACCCUGUGGCCAUGGGGGGGCCCGCACAGCUUCCCACCCAGGGAGGCCUCCUCACCCCAACACCAGCCCUGGGGCCCUAACUGGGAGGAGAGGCCCCAGUUCAGCAGGUGUGGCCACAGUCCACCAGGUCUCCACACCAAAGUCCUUCCCUGGGCAUGGAAGGACGUCUCCUGCACCAAGCGGGACAGUGGCAGAAAGCUGGAGGUGGAAGAGCACCUGGGCCUGGAGAUGGAGCCAGUGCAGACUGGGAGGCAUCCACGCUGGGCUGUGUGUCCGUGGCGUGGCCCGGUGGCUGUGUGGGGGCUGCAGGCCCUUCCCCAUCUCUGAGCCUCAGGGCCCUGCAUCCACCAGGGUCCACCCAGCCUCGCCUGGGCUCUGUGCCACCCUCGUGCCAGCAGCCAUCACUGGGAGCUGGAGCAUUCAGACGAAUGGCCAGUCUCUGCCUAACAGCCAGUUUUGCCAGCUGUGACUCGACCCCACACCCACUCACCUGCUGUCGCUCCCGCGUGGACCACAGGGUCUGCAGGGUCUGCAGGAGCAGGAGGGGGUCCUGGCCUGUGGGGACAAGACGACAACCAUGGGAGGAGCAGGUGCAGGGGCAGGGGCUGCCGCACAGCCCACCAGGAAGCCCCUCCCACUGACCCCCAAGGCCCAGGGCUCCUCUGGACCUGGGGUGAGCCCUCCCCACCUCUGGCACACACAGAACACAUCUGCCAGUUGCCGCAGUGCCCACCGUGGCCUGGGCUCACUGCCGUCCCUUCCCUGUGGCCUGCCCCUCCCCUCAGCCCCCUGGCAGCACUUCCACGCUCAGCCCUGGGAGCUGGGCCUCAUCCUCCAGCUGCAGUCACAGAGCAGCCCCAGGGCUGGGUCCUCUGCUGUCUAGGCCUUUAUGGGCCUGAGCCUCACCUGCUCCUCCCAGCACCCUCAGUAACCUCAUCAGCAUCUUCUUGCCCAGACCCUGUUCCCCACCAUGAGGACCCCAAGUCUCUACCCUCCCUGUAGCUCUUUAGGCCUCUGUCACUGCCCCUGCUGCCCCGCCCCUCCUUCCAACCCUGCUUGGGAGGCCGCCCCCACCUCAUGGUGGGGGCUGCAAACGUGCAACCAGGGACGCUGCCCCAUAAGGACAGAGCCACUAGAGUGAGGCCCAAGGGAGGUUUUCAGAAAGAAUCUGGGGGCCCCGUGGCUUGGCCUGGAGGCUUGUGGUGCCUCAACCCCACCCAGGGGAGCAGGGACACACCCAGGCUCCAUCAUGUGAUGGGGUCAGGUCGGAGGCCAGGGAGGGGCAGCUGCCUGCAGGGACUCCACAGGUACAGCCUUUGGGCGGGGGGCGGGGGGCAGGAGCCCGGUGGAUUCAGCAGUGAACUCCCCCGGGACAUGGGGGCCAUGGAAACUGCUGGGCCCCCCUGGAGAGCAGGAUGGGAACAGAGAAGGCCCUGGAGCUGGGUGAGGGAAGCUAAGGACUCAUGCAGAUCAGAUAAGACCCCAGCAGCUGUGUUCUGCCACAUGUGCUGAGGAGCGUGCGUGACGGGGUCACUCCGGAACACCAGGCUGACUUAACUCGAGAGCCCGCGGUGUGGUUCAGCCCAGGACUGGAAUAGAGGACAGAACCACGUGGCCCUUUCUGCAGACACAGAGCAAACGUUCUCAAAUUCAGUUCAGCUCAGGGUUUAAGAAAUAACUCGGCUAGGACGGGAAGGGAGCGCCCCGAACUGGGUAAAAGCCACCCACGAGCAUGAAGCAUGGCACUCAGGGCGGCACACGAGGACGUCUGACGGCAGGUGGCAUCCAGCAGGGAAGGGAAACAGAAACAUGAGGACCUGCCGACAACGUGAUUGAUUAUGCAGAAAGCCAUGAAGGAUCAAAGGCUACACUCUCAGAAUUUACCCAUGGGGGCCGGGCACGGUGGCUCACGGCUGUCAUCCCAGCAGUUUGGGAGCCCGGGGCAGGCGGUUCAUCUGAGGUCAGGAGUUCGAGACCAGCCUUGCCAACAAGGUGAAACUCCGUCUCGACUAAAAAUACCAAAAAAUUAGCCAGGCAUGUGGUAUGUGCUUGUAAUCCCAGCUACUUGGGAGGCUAAGGCAGGAGAAUCACUUGAA